UUUAACUCCUAGGAUGGUAGAAGUUUUGGUGUAUACACAAGAUUGGAUUAAAGGGUCUACAAGCAUGAAGAAAUUCUAUAUGGAAGAUGUGAAGGAAUAUAAUAAGUUGGAUGAAAGUAAUGUAGUUAUUCCAUGAUUUAUGUUAAAUAUGUAUUUUAUCAAAUUUAUUCCUAAUUUAAUCAUUAUUUUUUUGUAGAACUUUUGGAAUCAGAGAAAUCAAAUGAAGGCUGAAUUAAUGUGAUUAGUUCAUUUCUAAAGUUUUGAGACAGAUAUGUAUUCUAAUGUGCAUAACUCUUUAUUAAUGUAAUAUUUAUCUUUUUUCUCUAACUAUUUUUGUUAUUUGUAUUAUAGGAAUGAUGCUUAAAGCUUAUGCGACAACUCGGAAGUCCUAACAUUUUACCUUAUUAUUUGUUUUAUGAGAAUUUUGAUUUUGGAUUAUUGUAGCAUUUGUGUUCUUAUUUAUUGAGUUUGGAUUACUCUAAUAUUUUUUAAUUGUUG
rnacentral:lncRNA from 1 species